rnacentral:rRNA from 1 species
UGAGGAAUAUUGGUCAAUGGGCGGGAGCCUGAACCAGCCAAGUAGCGUGAAGGACGACGGCCCUACGGGUUGUAAACUUCUUUUAUAAGGGAAUAAAGUGCGUUACGUGUAAUGUUUUGUAUGUACCUUAUGAAUAAGCAUCGGCUAAUUCCGUGCCAGCAGCCGCGGUAAUACGGAAGAUGCGAGCGUUAUCCGGAUUUAUUGGGUUUAAAGGGAGCGUAGGCGGGCUUUUAAGUCAGCGGUCAAAUGUCACGGCUCAACCGUGGCCAGCCGUUGAAACUGCAAGCCUUGAGUCUGCACAGGGCACAUGGAAUUCGUGGUGUAGCGGUGAAAUGCUUAGAUAUCACGAAGAACUCCGAUCGCGAAGGCAUUGUGCCGGGGCAGCACUGACGCUGAGGCUCGAAAGUGCGGGUAUCAAACAGGAUUAGAUACCCUGGUAGUCCGCACGGUAAACGAUGAAUGCUCGCUAUGGGCGAUACAAUGUCCGUGGCCAAGCGAAAGCGUUAAGCAUUCCACCUGGGGAGUACGCCGGCAACGGUGAAACUCAAAGGAAUUGACGGGGGCCCGCACAAGCGGAGGAACAUGUGGUUUAAUUCGAUGAUACGCGAGGAACCUUACCCGGGCUUGAAUUGCAGGUGGAUGAGUCAGAGAUGAUUCUUUCCUUCGGGACUCCUGUGAAGGUGCUGCAUGGUUGUCGUCAGCUCGUGCCGUGAGGUGUCGGCUUAAGUGCCAUAACGAGCGCAACCCUUCUCCCCAGUUGCCAUCGGGUAAUGCCGGGCCCUCUGGGGACACUGCCAUCGUAAGAUGCGAGGAAGGUGGGGAUGACGUCAAAUCAGCACGGCCCUUACGUCCGGGGCUACACACGUGUUACAAUGGGGGGUACAGAGGGCCGCUGUCCGGUGACGGUCGGCCAAUCCCUAAAACCCCUCUCAGUUCGGACUGGAGUCUGCAACCCGACUCCACAAAGCUGGAUUCGCUAGUAAUCGCGCAUCAGCCAUGGCGCGGUGAAUACGUUCCC